rnacentral:lncRNA from 7 species
ACUGAUUAAAUAUAAAAACACCACCAUCUGCCAUUUAUUCUAAUAUAAAAUGGUUUGGGCAGAUGCUGACAUCUUUUGAGAUGAUUGAUUCAUCUCUGACAAGUGAAGAUUCUCGGAGGGUUCCAGCUGCCCACUGCUCGCACAAUACCCGCUUAGAGGAGCAAACGCCAAUCACCGCAGCGUGCUUUGGAUGGAGCAGGACAAAGUUUUCCUCUCGUAUUUCUCUGCUGCUGGUGUUUUUCUAUUAACACUGACCCAAAGAGAAGCUCCGAGGGAUGAAAGGGUUAUUAUGUGACCGGACACCUUGGGUCACCUGGGGACUGUUCUCCUUCUCCAGAUACAGCCUAUUUUGAAACAAGGACACUUCACCUUUUCCUGUUGAAACUGUUCCUCUCUGUGAAAGAAACUCACAGGUAUGUUUGCCCACAGAACCUGAGUCAACUCAGAUGUGAGGAGAAGUGGGAGAUCUUCAUCUCUGCUCUUCUACAGCCAUUCCUGCUGUACUUGAUCUGAAAGAUAUGUGAAGUAAAACAUUAGCAAGAAUGCUGCCAACAAUGAGAUAAAUGAAGGAUGCUUAGUGGCGGAUAAUGCUGAAAGUUGAACUUCUUUGACCGAAGAGCUACAGCUUCUUCACACUGUGAAGACUGAAGUGUUUCUAUUCCUUAAAGGAGAAUAUAUGAGGAAAUUUGGGUGACUUUAAACGCUUGAAAGAAUUUAGAUAGUGCCAAAGCUAAGCAGUAGAUGAGUGGAAAAUUAGAACAUUGAAUUUUGUUUUAAAUCUCAUCUAAAUCACCUGAAGUCUUGAGUAGGUCUAAAACUCAGCUGAUGUGUGUUUAAAAUAGCUACCAGUGGGAUGGAUUUGUUGAUAUUUAUCUCGGGAAUGUUGUGCUGAUAAAUGUGUCAAGUUCUCACCUAUUACAGUAAUAACUGUACCAUAUAUGGAUGUAGACAAAUAAAAAGGUGUUUUAAAUGGCUU